CAAAAACAUGUCUUUUUGUUUAUAAUUUAAAGUCUAACCUGCCCACUGAUUUUAUAUUUAAAGGCCGCAGUAUUUUGACUGUGCAAAGGUAGCAUAAUCAUUUGUCUUUUAAUUGAAGGCUGGAAUGAAUGGUUGAAUGAAAAAUAUACUGUCUCAUUUUUAAAAAUUAAGAAUUUAGCUUUUGAAUCAAAAGGUUUAAAUAAAAUUAAAAGACGAGAAGACCCUAUAGAUUUUUAUAUUAUUUUUUUUUAAUAUUAAAAAGAAAUAAAUUUAUUUUAAGAAAAAUUAAUAUUUAAUUGGGGUGAUUAGAAAAUUAAAUUAACUUUUUUUAUUUUAAAACAUUGAUUUAUGAAUUAUUGAUCCAAUUUUAUUGAUUACAAGAUUAAAUUACCUUAGGGAUAACAGCGUAAUUUUUUUAGAGAGUUCUUAUCGAUAAAAAAGAUUGCGACCUCGAUGUUGAAUUAAAGGUUAUUUUUAAAUGUAGAAGUUUAAAGUUUAGGUCUGUUCGACCUUUGAAUCUUUACAUGAUCUGAG
rnacentral:rRNA from 1 species